rnacentral:lncRNA from 1 species
AUUUAUCAAAAUAGUACAUAUAGUAUAUUGUAUCAAAUUAUGACAUUUCCUUUACGUUACACUUUGUAAAUACAGCUGUUUCACAAACAACACAUCUUUUGGGAUAUCUACUAGUGAUAAAUGUUUUGUUUACCUACUGGUUGCUAGAUAUGAUACUAUGUGGCAUCUCAAAGAGACACAUCUUGGGAACUUUACCAGUAUGAAUUCACAUGGAUAGCGGCCAAAUUAAAUUCUAAGAAGGACCAAAUGUUAAAUGAGAGGAAAUACAUAAUUUCAGUAUACAUGUAGGUUUAAUUUCUUGGACGUUUGAGGCAUAUAAAUGUUGAAAAUAUGCCGCACAGCCAGAUAUUUUGACCUUUGAAAAAAAAGUAAUGCAUAUGACCUUUCCAAUUACUGGUUUUCAAUAAAUAUACUAAAAUACAUUAAAAUUAUUUUCUUGAACAUAAUAUGUCAUGACUGUUUCAUAAUUAUAAUAUCUGUUUAGUAACUAACA